CAGAGAGAAGCCAGGUGGCGACACCGAGCGGAACUCGAAAGCCUGUCUCAGUUCGGAUCGGAGUCUGCAACCCGACUCCGUGAAGCUGGAUUCGCUAGUAAUCGCGCAUCAGCCAUGGCGCGGUGAAUACGUUCCCGGGCCUUGUACACACCGCCCGUCAAGCCAUGGAAGCCGGGAGUGCCUGAAGUAUGCAACCGCAAGGAGCGUCCUAAGGUAAAACCGGUGACUGGGGCUAAGUCGUAACAAGGUACC
rnacentral:rRNA from 1 species